AUUGAACGCUGGCGGCAUGCCUUACACAUGCAAGUCGAACGGCAGCACGGGAGCAAUCCUGGUGGCGUGUGGCGAACGGGUGAGUAAUGUAUCGGAACGUGCCCAGUCGUGGGGGAUAACGUAGCGAAAGCCACGCUAAUACCGCAUACGAUCUAUGGAUGAAAGCGGGGGAUCGCAAGACCUCGCGCGAUUGGAACGGCCGAUAUCAGAUUAGGUAGUUGGUGGGGUAAAGGCCCACCAAGCCUGCGAUCUGUAGCUGGUCUGAGAGGACGACCAGCCACACUGGAACUGAGACACGGUCCAGACUCCUACGGGAGGCAGCAGUGGGGAAUUUUGGACAAUGGGCGCAAGCCUGAUCCAGCAAUGCCGCGUGCAGGAUGAAGGCCUUCGGGUUGUAAACUGCUUUUGUACGGAACGAAACGGCUUUUUCUAAUACAGAGAGCUAAUGACGGUACCGUAAGAAUAAGCACCGGUUAACUACGUGCCAGCAGCCGCCGUAAUAC
rnacentral:rRNA from 1 species